rnacentral:lncRNA from 1 species
GGACCGGUCCUUGGCUUGAGAAACCGGACCCCAUAGGUCCUCUCAGUCCAGUAAUUAAGGACUUAGUCAAAUUUCAGCACUUUUCAGCUUUAGUCCGUUUCUUCUCCAUUUUCGCUCGUUUUUGCUCUGUGAGUCUCCGAUUCAUCUCAAAUCGCACCGAGACUCCUAAAACAUGUUUUCGAGCGCGUUUAAACCAUCUUUCCAUUCACGCUUAUGCCGGAUUUAGUCCACGGUCCAAUAUAGCCUUUGGGUUCUGUUUUCGCGCCCAACGCGCACCGAAAACGCCCGAAUGCUCCCGAACUUCGUCAGAAUCAUUCCAAUGGCUUUCCAAACUAACAUACAACGUAACUUCGUAACUAUAGAAGUUCGGUACGUCACAAUACCAGCAAAUGU